rnacentral:rRNA from 1 species
UGGAUCCAGACUUUGAUCCUGGCUCAGGAUGAACGCUAGCGGCAGGCUUAACACAUGCAAGUCGAGGGGCAACGGGGAAGUGCUUGCACUUCUGCCGGCGACCGGCGCACGGGUGAGUAACACGUAUGCAACCUACCCUGUUCAGGGGGAUAAACGGUGGAAACGCCGUCUAAUACCGCGUAAUCCCAGAGGAGGCAUCUUCUCAGGGUGAAAGAUUAAUCGGAAAAGGAUGGGCAUGCGGCGCAUUAGCUAGUUGGAGAGGUAACGGCUCCCCAAGGCGACGAUGCGUAGGGGUUCUGAGAGGAAGGUCCCCCACAUUGGUACUGAGACACGGACCAAACUCCUACGGGAGGCAGCAGUGAGGAAUAUUGGUCAAUGGGCGAGAGCCUGAACCAGCCAAGCCGCGUGAGGGAAGAAGGUUUUAUGAAUUGUAAACCUCUUUUGUCGGGGAGCAAUAACGGAUACGAGUUAUCCGGAGGGAGCGUACCCGAAGAAAAAGCAUCGGCUAACUCCGUGCCAGCAGCCGCGGUAAUACGGAGGAUGCGAGCGUUAUCCGGAUUUAUUGGGUUUAAAGGGUGCGCAGGCGGACUGUCAGGUCGUCGGUCAAAGUUCGGGGCUUAACCCCGUGAUGCCGACGAAACCGAUAGACUGGAGUAUGCUCAAUGUAUGCGGAAUGCGAGGUGUAGCGGUGAAAUGCAUAGAUAUCACGCAGAACUCCGAUUGCGAAGGCAGCAUACAGGGACAAAACUGACGCUGAGGCACGAAAGCGUGGGGAUCGAACAGGAUUAGAUACCCUGGUAGUCCACGCAGUAAACGAUGAGCACUCGCCGUUCGGUUCUAAGGGGCUGAGUGGCCAAGCGAAAGCGAUAAGUGCUCCACCUGGGGAGUACGCCGGCAACGGUGCAACUCAAAUGAAUUGACGGA